GGGGGUAUGGCGCAGUUGGUAGCGCGUUUGACUGGCAGUCAAAAGGCCACGAGUUCGAAUCUCGUUAUCUCCACCA
rnacentral:tRNA from 1 species